rnacentral:lncRNA from 1 species
UUCAGAAUACAAAAUUACUUCUUGCCUUCCAAAUUACUCUGUGUGAUCAAUCAAAACGUUCUAUGCAUUCGAAGAUAUUCCAACCAUUUGAGGUACCACUACAGUUGGUCUAUUUAGCCAUUUUAUCCUGCGAGAAAAAAUUUCACAGCCUCGGGUACAGUGAGGGGAAUUAUUUCCUUAAGGAAACUCCAUGAAUUCGUACGUCUUGGCUAUUGUUUGUUUCAUCUUAAUUUCU